UCAAACAUGUGUAAGAAGUGUAAGAAUAACAAAUACAAAAGAAGCAAUUCCAUAAUUUGUCUCUUUUCCAUUCCAUCACAAUUUAUUACAAAAGGCAAAUCUGAGAAUCAUGGUAAGGCUUCACUGAAAUCCUACGCUGAACAUCACCAAUCCUAAUGUCAAUUACAAUAGUUUACUUACAAAAAAAUCAUCACUACACCAAAACAACACUUAUCAUCGCCUCCCAUGAUCAUUACUACAAGCUAUUACAAGUCAGAUCACUUGAAAGUGCUAAUGAGCAAUGAGAUGACCACCCACAACUAAAGUAGCUUCUCUUGCCUCUAACUUCUCUGCAAUUGCUCCUUAAUAGGCAUGGUAUAAUUCUCGAUGCUCUAUCUCCCAUUACCGGGUCUAUCCACUCAAAAUAAUCACAUCCUCAACUACGAUCCACCUUUAGGGAAGAGAACUAGAAGAAAUUAACUAAAAUUUUUAAAUUUCCACGCAUGAAAGAUUCAAUUUUGGAGAACAAACUAGCAUACUUACCAAUCGAGUCUCACAAGCCACGAAACGCCUUCCAGGAUUCCAUUCUGUCCAUGAAGUUCUCACAAGGCAUCCUAAUCCACAUCUACAUGAUGCGAUAAUCCAUGGAAUCCUCUUUUGCAUUAUCUAUAUGCAAAGAAAGACUAAAACGAUACCCUAAAAAUGGUGCUAGAGCAUGUUAGGG
rnacentral:lncRNA from 1 species